rnacentral:lncRNA from 1 species
CAACAUCCCGGCAGAUCGAGAGCUUCAGAUCAUUAGCCAUGGCAUCACCUUCCAUUGGACUCUUCCUCAACCUAUCGGCUUUUGCAGGCUCCAAGCUGAUCUGGUACUCAUCCAUUUCUUCGCCAAUCUGCCGUAUGAACAUUCACAGUAAGUAUGAAACAUCAGUGAUUUGUGCAUGUAGUUUUGUAUGAACAUUCACAGUAAGUAUGAAACAUCAGUGAUUUGUGCAUGUAGUUUUCGACCGCAUUAGUUACCGGCAAGGAGACCUGGUUCAAGUCUAUUACUGCUGCAGUGCUUGGAGUAGUAGCAUCUCUUGCUGUGAAGCUCUGGUCUUUGGCAGGGAGUUGAAAGGAUGGAAUUGAAGGCCGACCAGUUAACAGCA